rnacentral:rRNA from 1 species
GACGAACGCUGGCGGCGUGCCUAAUACAUGCAAGUCGAACGCAGGGGGGACGGGUGAGUAACACGUGGGUAACCUCCCAUCAGAGGGGAUAACACUUGGAAACAGGUGCUAAACCGAUACUGAUGGAUGGACCCGCGGUGCAUUGGAUAGUUGGUGAGGUAACGGCUCACCAAGGCCACGAUGCAUAGCCGACCUGAGAGGGUGAUCGGCCAACCUGGGACUGAGACACGGCCCAGACCCCUACGGGGGGCAGCAGUAGGGAAUCUUCGGCAAGGGACAAAAGUCUGACCGAGCAACGCCGCUUGAGUAAAGAAGGUUUUCGGAUCUUAAAACUCUGUUGUUGGAGAAGCGGUAUCUAACCAGAAAGCCACGGCUAACUACGUGCCAGCCGCCGCGGUAAUAC